UACGUAGGGUGCGAGCGUUGUCCGGAAUUAUUGGGCGUAAAGAGCUCGUAGGCGGCGUGUCACGUCGGAUGUGAAAGCCCGGGGCUUAACCCCGGGUCUGCAUUCGAUACGGGCAUGCUGGAGUUCGGUAGGGGAGAUCGGAAUUCCUGGUGUAGCGGUGAAAUGCGCAGAUAUCAGGAGGAACACCGGUGGCGAAGGCGGAUCUCUGGGCCGAUACUGACGCUGAGGAGCGAAAGCUAGGGGAGCGAACGGG
rnacentral:rRNA from 1 species